GGACACGCAUCCCGGAAGAGGUGCGCUGCGACAUGCUUGACGUGAGCAGUUUUGGGGUUUGGCUUUUCCAGUUUGAGUGUGGCGGCUGGCGGGUUCUCCCCUGCCAAAUCGCCUGUACCCCACCAGGCCGAUCUCACCCUGUUCACGUUCACAGCGGGAGGCCCCUGCGGUCUUGAGCGGUACCUGUUCUAUUAGACACGAGCUAGAAGUAUCUCAGAAAGACACAAGGUGGCGAUGUUACCCCAAGAAAGUGUAUGUGUUCAGUCUCUAAAGCCCCAGCUUCACCUGACAAGUCUUUGGUCCUCAGAACAAGGGUUAUUUCUGAGGACGAACAGAGAAAACUUGUGUGAAGUUCCUGGCACAGAAGGAGUUGAAUAAAUGAUUAAUUUUC